GCACUCUUGUCGGAGUGCCUAGUGAGCGGGAUCCUUUCCCACUUCAGGCUGAGACCGUUAAUUCGGGAUCCGCGGAACCUGAUCGGGUUAAUACCCGCGAAGGGAACAAGAGUAAUCCUUUG
rnacentral:ncRNA from 2 species